CGGACGGGUGAGUAAUGCUUGGGAAUCUGGCUCAUGGAGGGGGAUAACUACGGGAAACUGUAGCUAAUACCGCGUAGUAUCGGAAGAUGAAAGUGUGGGACCGCAAGGCCACAUGCCAUGAGAUGAGCCCAAGUGGGAUUAGGUAGUUGGUUAGGUAAAGGCUGACCAAGCCGACGAUCUCUAGCUGGUCUGAGAGGAUGACCAGCCACACUGGAACUGAGACACGGUCCAGACUCCUACGGGAGGCAGCAGUGGGGAAUAUUGCACAAUGGGGGAAACCCUGAUGCAGCCAUGCCGCGUGAAUGAAGAAGGCCUUCGGGUUGUAAAGUUCUUUCGGUGAUGAGGAAGGUGUUUGUUUUAAUAGGACAAGCAAUUGACGUUAGUCACAGAAGAAGCACCGGCUAACUCCGUGCCAGCAGCCGCGGUAAUACGGAGGGUGCGAGCGUUAAUCGGAAUAACUGGGCGUAAAGGGCACGCAGGCGGUGACUUAAGUGAGAUGUGAAAGCCCCGAGCUUAACUUGGGAAUUGCAUUUCAUACUGGGUCGCUAGAGUACUUUAGGGAGGGGUAGAAUUCCACGUGUAGCGGUGAAAUGCGUAGAGAUGUGGAGGAAUACCGAAGGCGAAGGCAGCCCCUUGGGAAUGUACUGACGCUCAUGUGCGAAAGCGUGGGGAGCAAACAGGAUUAGAUACCCUGGUAGUCCACGCUGUAAACGCUGUCGAUUUGGGGAUUGGGCUUAGAGCUUGGUGCCCGUAGCUAACG
rnacentral:rRNA from 1 species